rnacentral:lncRNA from 1 species
UGAACACUCACAUUUCACACAUAGAGUGCAAUACAUCAGCGCCAAAUUUGACUUGUCAAACUCGCAGUCAGCUACUUUUUUCCCUCCACUUUUUUUUUUCUUUUUUUUUUUUCCGGUGGGGGGAGGUAACCAUAGAAGUCCUAGUUAAUUUGGUGAAAACAUCAGGGCUACAAAGCUGAGUGACCUCCUCGGUCAACGUAACCUAGCCGUGACCUCUGACCGGUGCAAUUCACCAUGCGUCUCCAGUCCAGCGACCAGCAGCAACUCCCCCACGAUCACUGGAAAUGUCACUGAGGUGG